UUACUUAAUCUUGUUGAAAGUAGCACUUUUGAGGUUAAUAAGGUUUAAAUUAAUAACCCCCAUUGACUGUAGUCUAUAAUACUAUAAUUUUUUAAAUGGCAAAAUGCCCUCUGGGAGCUAAGGUGUCUUAAAAGCUUAGAGCAAAUCCUGUUAAAUGGGACAAAGUCUCAAUUCUUUUUUAAUAAGACAAAAACACUUUAUGUAGUCUCUUUUCUUUUUCAGUGUUUCUCGAAAUUUCAAUUUUAUUCCAUGCUGCUACAGAAUACAAACUUACCCAAUAAAAAUAGCAGCUCCAUUGAAAGAGCUUUCCCACAAAUUGAAAUAUUUAAAGCACAGUUACAGGCUUGUGUACUGUUGGUGCAUACAUUGUUUGAUUUGUUCAGUUCCUCAGUUUUGCAGGGAAAGAUGUCAACAUUAUCUGAUUUUUCAAGCUAUCUAUUCAAUGAUUCUAAUUUUCUAAAAGACUUGGAAGCUGGGUUGUUUUUUGUUCUGGCCCCUCAGUUUGUUGAGAGCCUAUUUUAAAGAUUUCCAGUGGAUUUAACAAAAUGAACAAAAUUUAGAGGACUCAUUUAUUUCCCCCAACCAAGUCAGUGCCAUAGUGGGACCCUUACAUAAAUUUGUCACUGUGUUUAAAUUUGAUGUAGUGAAUGAAAAUAAUCAUCUGAAGCCAGUAUAAAAUAGGCAUUAAACAUUGUUGUCCAAGCUAGAGUGCAGUGGCUCUCCACCAGCAUGAUCAUUUAACACACAAAAACCUGAAACACCUGGGCUUAAUCCUGCCUCAGCCUUCCGAGUAGCUGGGACUACAGGCACAUGCCACUAUGCCUUGUUAAAUUAAGAUUUGUAGCUCUUCUUCCCAUUCCCUGCACCCUUCUGAGAGAGCUUAUACUGAAAGUUCUGCAUUUUGUGUCCUUGAUUUUGCACAGGAAGGCAAAAGAUCACAGUUGAGGAAAAAAAGUUACCCACUUUGAAAAUCUGUUUCCAUUUUUAAAUUCCUGUAGUUAUAGGGAAUAAGUUGUUCUAGUAGACCAAAAGAAGAUUAAUGUUUUUAGUUAUACACGGAUGCAUUGAUAUUGUGGUAGACAGUUGAUACUGGCUUUAUCGUAAUUUUUUUUUCUUUUUAUGGAGAAUGGGGUCUCACUAUGUUAUCCAAGCUGGUCUCGAACUCCUGCGCUCAAGCUGUCCUCUCGCCUCUGCUUCUCUGUUGUAUCUUUUUUAUUUAGGCAUCCUUUCUUUUGCUUUCUAGUACUUGGUCUUUUGUAUAUGAGUACGUUCAGCUUUUCUGGGGUUUUUUUUUUGUUGUUUUUGAGACAGUCUCACUCUUUUCCCCAGGCUGGAGUGCAGUGGCGCGAUCUGCAGCCUCUCCCUCCCAGGUUCAAGUGAUUCUCCUGUAUCAUCCUCCCGAGUAGCUGGGAUUACAGGCGUGUGCACUAUGCGUGGCUAAUUUUUGUGAUGUUAGUAGAGAUGGGGUUUUACCAUGUUAGCAGCACUGGUCUUGAACUCCUGACCUUAGGUGAUCCACCCUUCUCAGCCUCCCAAAGUGCUGGGAUUACGGGCGUGAGCCACUGUGCCCAGUCUAGCUUUUUUGGUCUUGUUUUUUUGUUUCUGAGACAGGAUUUUGUGUUUUUUUUCUGUCUCAAGACAGCUCUGUUGCCCAGACUGGAGUGCAGUGGCAUGAUCACAGCUCACUGCAGCCUUGACUUGUUGGGCUCAAGUGAUCCUCCCACCUCAGUCUUCUGAGUAGCUAGGACCCCAGGCAUGCACCACCAUGCCUAGCUAACAUUUUCGAAGAGACGGGGGUCUCCCUUUGUUGUUCAGGCUGGUCUCAGUCAAACUCCUGGGCUCAAGCGAUCCCUGUCUUUGCCUCCCAGGGUGUUAGGAUUACAGGCAUGAGCCACGUACCUAGUGGUCUUCUGCUGUUCAAAUGGAAUCCCAAACCUUACCCUUCUGUGUUAUUUCCGUGUUUAUAUGAGAAAGGGGAUAUAGAAGAUAUAGUAGUCCCUAGACUUAAUGGGUGUACUGACUUAUGCCAUAGACUAAACUUAAGAGAAACUGUUAGUUUGAAAAUGUUGAAGGCAGUAAUGUAUUAACAUUGGUUCUAUUUAUUGUCUUUUUUUUUUAACUUGUGAUUAUUAGACAUUGGUUAUAUCAUUGGUAAGAUGGAGCUGUACCAUCUUAAAAAUAUUCUAAUAAACUAUAUUUUCAUAGUAGAUAAUUCAUAUUGUUAUGCACAAGUCAUGGAACAGUGAACUACAUACUUGUUGGAAAUAAAACGUUCAUAUUGAAUUGUGCAGACUAUAUGUUAAGAGCAAACGUCUUUCUACUUACAGAAGUACGCUCUUCAGGGUCAGAAUUUCAAUCACGAGGUCAGGAGAUCGAGACCCAUCCUGGUUAACACAGUGAAAUCCCGUCUCUACUAAAAAAUACAAAAAAUUAGCCUGGCAUGGUGGCGGGCACCUGAGGCAGGAGAAUGGCGUGAACCUGGGAGGUGGAGCUUGCAGUGACCCCAGAUUGCGCCACUGCACUGCAGCCUGGAGACUCCGUCUCAAAAAAAAAAAAAAUUUCAAUAGUUAAAAAUGGAUGCUGAGUUUAAAAAAAAAAAAAAAGGUUGAGUUGAGAGAAUAAGGAGAUUAGAAAACAAAAAAGGUACUUAGCCCCAUGAGAGUUUUUUUGGUUUGUUUUCAGGUAGAAAAUAGAGUUAGUGGAUUGGGGAGGAAGGAUGGUUCAGGAAGAACAAAGAAUUUAAGACAGUUGAGGGCCUCUGAAAGUGGUCUUGGAAGUUCAACAAAUAACGUGAAUGUUGAGCUCUCUCUGGUCUAAGCUCUUAAACUAUGAGAAUAUCUAAUUAUAGCUAUUUCGGUUUGUAAGAGAUUGGCUUUUAUGUAAAUAAAAAAUUUUGUAUCAAUGUGUUUGCAUAUAUAUUUUUACGAACUCUAGCUAAGAUGAUUGUCUCAGCAUAUGUUCAGGCAUGUUCUCUCUCCUAAUGGAAUAUAUUAUUUAUGUGAAUUGUGAUGGAGUGUGCCUUUAAAAAUAGGGUGAAAGUAACUGAAAGCAGUGGACUCAUUUGCUUGUUUUCUUAAAUUAAGCUUAUGUGACUCACCCAUUUUCUGUCUUGGUGUAGGAACUUAGUGAUUUGGCCCGUGACCCUCCAGCACAAUGUUCUGCAGGUCCAGUUGGGGAUGAUAUGUUUCAUUGGCAAGCCACAAUUAUGGGACCUAAUGACAGCCCAUAUCAAGGCGGUGUAUUCUUUUUGACAAUUCAUUUUCCUACAGACUACCCCUUCAAACCACCUAAGGUUGCAUUUACAACAAGAAUUUAUCAUCCAAAUAUUAACAGUAAUGGCAGCAUUUGUCUCGAUAUUCUAAGAUCACAGUGGUCGCCUGCUUUAACAAUUUCUAAAGUUCUUUUAUCCAUUUGUUCACUGCUAUGUGAUCCAAACCCAGAUGACCCCCUAGUGCCAGAGAUUGCACGGAUCUAUAAAACAGACAGAGAUAAGUACAACAGAAUAUCUCGGGAAUGGACUCAGAAGUAUGCCAUGUGAUGCUACCUUAAAGUCAGAAUAACCUGCAUUAUAGCUGGAAUAAACUUUAAAUUACUGUUCCUUUUUUGAUUUUCUUAUCCGGCUGCUCCCCUAUCAGACCUCAUCUUUUUUAAUUUUAUUUUUUGUUUACCUCCCUCCAUUCAUUCACAUGCUCAUCUGAGAAGACUUAAGUUCUUCCAGCUUUGGACAAUAACUGCUUUUAGAAACUGUAAAGUAGUUACAAGAGAACAGUUGCCCAAGACUCAGAAUUUUUAAAAAAAAAAAUGGAGCAUGUGUAUUAUGUGGCCAAUGUCUUCACUCUAACUUGGUUAUGAGACUAAAACCAUUCCUCACUGCUCUAACAUGCUGAAGAAAUCAUCUGAGGGGGAGGGAGAUGGAUGCUCAGUUGUCACAUCAAAGGAUACAGCAUUAUUCUAGCAGCAUCCAUUCUUGUUUAAGCCUUCCACUGUUAGAGAUUUGAGGUUACAUGAUAUGCUUUAUGCUCAUAACUGAUGUGGCUGGAGAAUUGGUAUUGAAUUUAUAGCAUCAGCAGAACAGAAAAUGUGAUGUAUUUUAUGCAUGUCAAUAAAGGAAUGACCUGUUCUUGUUCUACAGAGAAUGGAAAUUGGAAGUCAAACACCCUUUGUAUUCCAAAAUAGGGUCUCAAACAUUUUGUAAUUUUCAUUUAAAUUGUUAGGAGGCUUGGAGCUAUUAGUUAAUCUAUCUUCCAAUACACUGUUUAAUAUAGCACUGAAUAAAUGAUGCAAGUUGUCAAUGGAUGAGUGAUCAACUAAUAGCUCUGCUAGUAAUUGAUUUAUUUUUCUUCAAUAAAGUUGCAUAAACCAAUGAGUUAGCUGCCUGGAUUAAUCAGUAUGGGAAACAAUCUUUUGUAAAUGCAAAGCUGUUUUUUGUAUAUACUGUUGGGAUUUGCUUCAUUGUUUGACAUCAAAUGAUGAUGUAAAGUUCGAAAGAGUGAAUAUUUUGCCAUGUUCAGUUAAAGUGCACAGUCUGUUACAGGUUGACACAUUGCUUGACCUGAUUUAUGCAGAAUUAAUAAGCUAUUUGGAUAGUGUAGCUUUAAUGUGCUGCACAUGAUACUGGCAGCCCUAGAGUUCAUAGAUGGACUUUUGGGACCCAGCAGUUUUGAAAUGUGUUUAUGGAGUUUAAGAAAUUUAUUUUCCAGGUGCAGCCCCUGUCUAACUGAAAUUUCUCUUCACCUUGUACACUUGACAGCUGAAAAAAAACAACAUGGGAGUAAUAAUGGGUCAAAAUUUGCAAAAUAAAGUACUGUUUUGGUGUGGG
rnacentral:lncRNA from 1 species